GCAAUAUAAAACCCCAUCAGGUGUCCUGUUGGUGGCAAUAUAAAACCCCAUCAGGUGUCCUGUUGGUGGCAAUAUAAAACCCCAUCAGGUGUCCUGUUGGUGGCAAUAUAAAACCCCAUCAGGUGUCCUGUUGGUGGCAAUAUAAAACCCCAUCAGGUGUCCUGUUGGUGGCAAUAUAAAACCCCAUCAGGUGUCCUGUUGGUGGCAAUAUAAAACCCCAUCAGGAGUCCUGUUGGUGGCAAUAUAAAAC